UGGAUAGCUCAAUGGGUAGAGCAACCGUUUCGGCGGUGUGUCGCGGGUUCGACUCCCGCUCCA
rfam:Candidatus Accumulibacter phosphatis clade IIA str. TW-1, complete genome.